UGACAUGUUAAGGAAAGAAGGUGACAGA
rnacentral:piRNA from 1 species